UACGUAGGGACCGAGCGUUGUCCGGAUUCAUUGGGCGUAAAGAGCUCGUAGGCGGCUGUUCAAGUCGAACGUGAAAACUCGGAGCUCAACUCCGAGCCUGCGUUCGAUACUGGAUGGCUAGAGUCUGGUAGGGGGAUCUGGAAUUCCUGGUGUAGCGGUGAAAUGCGCAGAUAUCAGGAAGAACACCCGUGGCGAAGGCGGCUCUCUGGGACGGUACUGACGCUGAGACGCGAAAGCGUGGGGAGCGAACAGG
rnacentral:rRNA from 1 species